UACAGAGGUCUCAAGCGUUGUUCGGAUUCAUUGGGCGUAAAGGGUGCGUAGGCGGCGCGGUAAGUCGGGUGUGAAAUCUCGGGCUUAACUUGGGAAUUGCGCUCGAAACUACGUGGCUGGAGUGUGGCAGAGGAAGGUGGAAUUCCAGGUGUAGCGGUGAAAUGCGUAGAGAUCUGGAGGAACACCGAUGGCGAAGGCAGCCUUCUGGGCCAACACUGACGCUCAUGCACGAAAGCGUGGGGAGCAAACAGG
rnacentral:rRNA from 1 species